GGCGUUGGCUCUUAUCCCAGAUGACGUCCUAAGAGUCUGUGUGCUUCCAUAGAGGCUGAGGAUCAAUCAGCUUGAAGCUGGCUGGCAUGUCAUCCAGCGUGUCCACCCCCUAACUGUGAUCAGUGGCUUGUGCCCAAGGGAUGAGCUGUAAGCCGCAUGCCCUUCCUGUUCUCCCACGUCCAGCAACCACACAACUCUCCAAAUCCAGAAGUUUCCGGUCAUAUAAAAGCCGGGCUUGAGAGGGGAAACACGUGCUGCAUUCAUUGGAAUAAGUAUAAACGAAUCCACAAAUUUGGCAUUCUUAUGAAAGAGUGUGAAGACUCACCUUUAAAGACCACCAGACUUGAGUAAAGUCAUCUGAAAUGCCAAGUCACUGUAUGAAAAGCUCAGUGCUCCCAAAUCUAUGCUCCAAAGCAAAGUAGACUUCCUAGAAAAGGAACUGAAAAAAGUGAAAAUCAGAUGCUCAAAACAAGAUGGACUGAUAGAAGGCAUUAUAAGAAGGACACUGUCAUUGAAAGUCAAUCAAAGUCCAUCAGACUACAAGUGCCCUCUCCAUGUAGAAUGCAAGGGACUCCUUCCUCGGUUUGGGUUUGAAAGGAGAGCUUCCCCAAGUGUUCACACAGAUCUCUCCAAUGCUGUGUGCACGCUUCUUUCUCCCAAUCUGAGGUCUCAAUGCUGGUGGGCGAAAGGGGGCUCUUCCUAACAAGAAGACAUCUUCAUGCCUCUCAUCUUGGGUGCUGCCAGCAUUACUUCCCCCUGAGUCUUCCUGCCCCAGCUUGACCUACAACAGUAAGGAGCAUCAGUCCUCCAUGGGGUUUUCCUCAUGACCCUUCACCUGCACUUGAAUUAUUCCUCCUGCCCCACAUCCUGAAAGUAGAAGGGAGUUACUCUUACACUUGACCUUCAAACAAGCUGAUCGUUGAUCAUCCAGCACUCCCACAAAAAUCUUGAUUUUCCCCCCUCCCUCUUUUCAAAAAGCUAAUUUUGAAUUAGCUUGUUCGGCUAUUCAAUUUAAAAAACUGUGGGGUGA